UACGCCGUAAACGAUGAUUACUAAAUGUUCCUUUUUGGAGCAAUGAAGCUAACGCAUUAAGUAAUCCGCCUGGGAAGUACGAUCGCAAGAUUGAAACUUAAAGGAAUUGACGGGGUCCCGCACAAGCAGUGGAGCAUGUGGUUCAAUUCGACGCUACGCGAAGAACCUUACCAGGACUUGACAUAGAGGUAAAAGUUCUAGAAAUAGAAUCAUAGUUAUAGCUCAUACAGGUGG
rnacentral:rRNA from 1 species